AAAUCUAAAGGAAUUUGAGAACUAUAGAAACUUUGUUUUGGGAGUAUGAAGGGAAUCAAUUAAAAAUAUCUCUGUGCUCACAGGUGUCCAGGAAGUAGUCCUGUCUCCUGGAGGGCAGCCCUGGAAACGGGUGGUGAUGGAUGCAAAUCAGCACAGGUGUGCAACAUUGAUCCUGACCUGCAGGGUGUGCAAGUGAUGCCAGUAUUUCUUGUAGCUGUACUAAGGUUUUGUACCACAGGGCAAACAAAUAAAGGAACCCUAAGGGACACGUUUCCAGUUAAAUUGUAUGUGGGAUGGCAGUGUGAGGUUUGGCUUCCCAAUUUUCAUCAACCUGCAUUGGACACAUGUGAAGAAAUGAAAUACAAGAUGCUGAACGAGUUAGGAGUGACAGACGUACCAGAGGCCACUCUGGUGGAUACAGACAGCACCAUCUACUCUCCUUUCCUGUUCAACACAGGGUCACCUUGAGAGGAUUCACACCUCACUUCCUGAAGUUUUCUGCACUGUUCCAAGACUAGACUCCCAUGGAGAGAGCUACACUUCUCCGCACACACAACACCAUAAAAUCUGGAAAGUAGGCAGCAGAAAAGGACUUGAGAAACCUUUUUGUGAGAUGGUUUAUGGAGUGGCAUAUGAGCACACAUAAACCUAGACAGAUAUACAAACAUGGACUUGUUUACCCUGGUUAAAAUUCUGAACCUUCUGAAUUCUGCCAUUCAUCAGAAAACAUUUCAUCAUUCACAGACCCCUUACAAAAUAUGCACAUAUUUUCCAGGAAAUGUAAGUAGAAAAUGACAUACCAGUGGAGUUAAAUAAAACCCUAUCUGUGUAGAAGACA
rnacentral:lncRNA from 1 species